rnacentral:rRNA from 1 species
CAGUCGUGCUCUUUGGAUUCAGCCGGUUCUGCCGGUGUACUUCCUUUGAGUGGGGUCAACAUCAGUUUUGAUCGCUGGAUAAAGGCUGGAGGAACGUAGCACCCCCGGGUGAACUCAUAGCCUCCUGUCACAUACAGUGGUUGGGACUGAGGAACGCAGCACGCCUUUAUGGCCGGGAUCCGUCCAUGUACGUGCUUAGGAUGUUGACAUAAUGGACUUUAAACGACCCGUCUUAGAAACACGGACCAAGGAGUCUAGCAUAUAUGCGAGUGUU